CGCGUAGGCGGACUUUCAAGUCGGGUGUGAAAAUUAUCGGCUCAACUGAUAACUUGCACUCGAUACUGUUGGUCUUGAGUUUAUUAGAGGAAAGCGGAAUUCCAGGUGUAGCGGUGGAAUGCGUAGAUAUCUGGAAGAACACCAGUAGCGAAGGCGGCUUUCUGGGAUACAACUGACGCUGAAGCGCGAAGGCUAGGGGAGCAAACA
rnacentral:rRNA from 1 species